GAAUGCUGACAUAAGUAACGAUAAAGCGGGUGAAAAGCCCGCUCGCCGGAAGACCAAGGGUUCCUGUCCAACGUUAAUCGGGGCAGGGUGAGUCGACCCCUAAGGCGAGGCCGAAAGGCGUAGUCGAUGGGAAACAGGUUAAUAUUCCUGUACUUGGUGUUACUGCGAAGGGGGGACGGAGAAGGCUAUGUUGGCCGGGCGACGGUUGUCCCGGUUUAAGCGUGUAGGCUGGUUUUCCAGGCAAAUCCGGAAAAUCAAGGCUGAGGCGUGAUGACGAGGCACUACGGUGCUGAAGCAACAAAUGCCCUGCUUCCAGGAAAAGCCUCUAAGCAUCAGGUAACAUCAAAUCGUACCCCAAACCGACACAGGUGGUCAGGUAGAGAAUACCAAGGCGCUUGAGAGAACUCGGGUGAAGGAACUAGGCAAAAUGGUGCCGUAACUUCGGGAGAAGGCACGCUGAUAUGUAGGUGAAGUCCCUCGCGGAUGGAGCUGAAAUCAGUCGAAGAUACCAGCUGGCUGCAACUGUUUAUUAAAAACACAGCACUGUGCAAACACGAAAGUGGACGUAUACGGUGUGACGCCUGCCCGGUGCCGGAAGGUUAAUUGAUGGGGUUAGCGGUAACGCGAAGCUCUUGAUCGAAGCCCCGGUAAACGGCGGCCGUAACUAUAACGGUCCUAAGGUAGCGAAAUUCCUUGUCGGGUAAGUUCCGACCUGCACGAAUGGCGUAAUGAUGGCCAGGCUGUCUCCACCCGAGACUCAGUGAAAUUGAACUCGCUGUGAAGAUGCAGUGUACCCGCGGCAAGACGGAAAGACCCCGUGAACCUUUACUAUAGCUUGACACUGAACAUUGAGCCUUGAUGUGUAGGAUAGGUGGGAGGCUUUGAAGUGUGGACGCCAGUCUGCAUGGAGCCGACCUUGAAAUACCACCCUUUAAUGUUUGAUGUUCUAACGUUGGCCCCUGAUCGGGGUUGCGGACAGUGUCUGGUGGGUAGUUUGACUGGGGCGGUCUCCUCCUAAAGAGUAACGGAGGAGCACGAAGGUUGGCUAAUCCUGGUCGGACAUCAGGAGGUUAGUGCAAUGGCAUAAGCCAGCUUGACUGCGAGCGUGACGGCGCGAGCAGGUGCGAAAGCAGGUCAUAGUGAUCCGGUGGUUCUGAAUGGAAGGGCCAUCGCUCAACGGAUAAAAGGUACUCCGGGGAUAACAGGCUGAUACCGCCCAAGAGUUCAUAUCGACGGCGGUGUUUGGCACCUCGAUGUCGGCUCAUCACAUCCUGGGGCUGAAGUAGGUCCCAAGGGUAUGGCUGUUCGCCAUUUAAAGUGGUACGCGAGCUGGGUUUAGAACGUCGUGAGACAGU
rnacentral:rRNA from 1 species